rnacentral:rRNA from 1 species
CAGUAGCCGCGGUAAUACGGAGGGGGCAAGCGCUAUCCGGAAUUAUUGGGCGUAAAGGGUACGUAGGUGGCCUUUUAAGCGUAGGGUAUAAGGCAAUGGCUCAACCAUUGUUCGCCCUAUGAACUGGAAGGCUUGAGUGCAGGAGAGGAAAGCGGAAUUCCUAGUGUAGCGGUGGAAUGCAUAGAUAUUAGGAGGAACAUCAGCGGCGAAGGCGGCUUUCUGGACUGCAACUGACACUGAGGUACGAAAGCCAGGGGAGCGAACGGGAUUAGAUACCCGAGUAGUCCCUGUCUCUUAUACA